rnacentral:rRNA from 1 species
AAAUUGAAGAGUUUGAUCAUGGCUCAGAUUGAACGCUGGCGGCAGGCCUAACACAUGCAAGUCGAACGGUAACAGAAAGCAGCUUGCUGCUUUGCUGACGAGUGGCGGACGGGUGAGUAAUGUCUGGGAAACUGCCUGAUGGAGGGGGAUAACUACUGGAAACGGUAGCUAAUACCGCAUAAUGUCGCAAGACCAAAGAGGGGG